AUGCAAGUCGAGCGGUAAGGCCUUUCGGGGUACACGAGCGGCGAACGGGUGAGUAACACGUGGGUGAUCUGCCCUGCACUCUGGGAUAAGCUUGGGAAACUGGGUCUAAUACCGGAUAUGACUGCAUGCCGCAUGGUGUGUGGUGGAAAGAUUUAUCGGUGCAGGAUGGGCCCGCGGCCUAUCAGCUUGUUGGUGGGGUAAUGGCCUACCAAGGCGACGACGGGUAGCCGACCUGAGAGGGUGACCGGCCACACUGGGACUGAGACACGGCCCAGACUCCUACGGGAGGCAGCAGUGGGGAAUAUUGCACAAUGGGCGGAAGCCUGAUGCAGCGACGCCGCGUGAGGGAUGAAGGCCUUCGGGUUGUAAACCUCUUUCAGCAGGGACGAAGCGUGAGUGACGGUACCUGCAGAAGAAGCACCGGCUAACUACGUGCCAGCAGCCGCGGUAAUACGUAGGGUGCGAGCGUUGUCCGGAAUUACUGGGCGUAAAGAGUUCGUAGGCGGUUUGUCGCGUCGUUUGUGAAAACCCGGGGCUCAACUUCGGGCUUGCAGGCGAUACGGGGCAACUUGAGUGUUUCAGGGGAGACUGGAAUUCCUGGUGUAGCGGUGAAAUGCCCAGAUAUC
rnacentral:rRNA from 1 species